UACGAAGGGGGCUAGCGUUGCUCGGAAUCACUGGGCGUAAAGCGCACGUAGGCGGAUUGCUAAGUCAGGGGUGAAAUCCUGGAGCUCAACUCCAGAACUGCCUUUGAUACUGGAGAUCUUGAGUUCGGGAGAGGUGAGUGGAACUGCGAGUGUAGAGGUGAAAUUCGUAGAUAUUCGCAAGAACACCAGUGGCGAAGGCGGCUCACUGGCCCGAUACUGACGCUGAGGCACGAAAGCGUGGGGAGCAAACAGG
rnacentral:rRNA from 1 species